UGAGGAAUAUUGGUCAAUGGGGGCAACCCUGAACCAGCCAAGUCGCGUGAAGGAUGAAGGUCUUAUGGAUUGUAAACUUCUUUUACACGGGAAUAAAGCGGGGGACGUGUCCCUCUUUGCAUGUACCGUGUGAAUAAGGAUCGGCUAACUCCGUGCCAGCAGCCGCGGUAAUACGGAGGAUCCGAGCGUUAUCCGGAUUUAUUGGGUUUAAAGGGUGCGCAGGCGGGAUGUUAAGUCGGCGGUGAAAUUUUGCAGCUCAACUGUAAAAGUGCCUUCGAUACUGGCCUUCUUGAGUGUGAAUGAAGUAGGCGGAAUUUGUGGUGUAGCGGUGAAAUGCUUAGAUAUCACGAGGAACUCCGAUUGCGCAGGCAGCUUACUAGGCCACAACUGACGCUCAUGCACGAAGGCGUGGGGAUCAAACA
rnacentral:rRNA from 1 species